rnacentral:rRNA from 1 species
AACGAACGCUGGCGGCAGGCCUAACACAUGCAAGUCGAGCGAAGCCUUCGGGCUUAGCGGCGGACGGGUGAGUAACGCGUGGGAACGUGCCCUUUGGUACGGAAUAGCCCCGGGAAACUGGGAGUAAUACCGUAUGUGGUCGAGAGACGAAAGAUUUAUCGCCAAAGGAUCGGCCCGCGUUGGAUUAGGUAGUUGGUGGGGUAAUGGCCUACCAAGCCGACGAUCCAUAGCUGGUUUGAGAGGAUGAUCAGCCACACUGGGACUGAGACACGGCCCAGACUCCUACGGGGGGCAGCAGUGGGGAAUCUUAGACAAUGGGGGAAACCCUGAUCUAGCCAUGCCGCGUGAUCGGUGAAGGCCUUAGGGUUGUAAAGAUCUUUCAGUGGGGAAGAUAAUGACUGUACCCACAGAAGAAGCCCCGGCUAACUCCGUGCCAGCCGCCGCCGUAAAAC